rnacentral:lncRNA from 1 species
AUUAAAUGUGAAACAAUUUUUUGUUCAAACAUGAAUGGGUACAUAAAAAGCCGCCCUAUAAUGUUUCCAUGAUAAAAAAAAUUACAACAUUUUAUAAAACACGAAUAUAUGCUUAAGCUUUUAUUACAAAGAAUUCAAAUACAAAAAAAAUAACCAUAAAUUUUCUUAAAAAAAUACACACAAAAAAAAAGCAAAAUGGCUUAAAAUGAGCCAAGAAGCCAAGCCCCAACAAUAUAAGAAAACAUUAGUCUCAAAAGAAACAUCAAUAGUCAUUAUCACUGAAAAAGAGCGAUGAGGAUGUUGGAAAUGCCUAGAGUGAAGGCAGAAAAUGUACUUGAUGAUGGCGUGUAAAGCCUCUGAAAGGAGACCAUGGUGCAUCAACAAGAAAAAAAAACCCCAUCAAUCUCCAUAGAGCAAAAGGAAAUCAACGACGGGGUAAGAACCCACGAUUAAUGAGAGAGGCUUCAACCAUAAGUUGAGUAGGCUAGUGUGAUAAAUCCUAAGGUCCAACCCGCAUAGGACUAAAGAGACAACAACACAAACACACAGAGAGGAGCAAGGUUACUGGAAGAGAAAAAAAGAAAUAAGAAAAGGUCAAGCCCAAUACCACAAGUAUAGGGCAAAACCCCACGAGACGUUCGAAAAGUCUCUCACAAUGUCAACCUAAGGUCAAAGGAGGAGAGGGGGCAAGGUUUAAACAUCAUUUUGUAGAGAGUGAAGGGAAAAAAAGAAAAAAAAAAAAGAGGAAGGGGAAGAGAGAACCAAACAUCAAUCGACACAAAGCCGACUGAAUCAACGAC